UCUCACUUGCUUUACUAAUUUACUUCAUCUUGCUGCUGUAAUUUUGUUGAUUCUUUUUACUGUGAAAUAGAACAUAACCUUUGGAGUAGAACAUACUAAAGCACAAAUGUAAAUUUGCCGGAACAUGAGGCAUAGGCGUAUUUACUACGUAUAUCUAACUGGACAAAACUUUGACUUUGAAAAUUGUUUGUAAAUUUGUAGGGUAAGAGACGUAUAAGCCGUUUCAAUCAAUUUAAACUUCUUGUAUUUGGUACAUAACCUAUCACUAUUAGUAACUCGUAAAUUUCCGACAAAAAAAAAUUAUCGAAAAUUUCCGACGGAAUCAGUCGGGAUUUUUUUUAAAAUAUCAAUUGUAUUUUUAAAAAAUAUUUCUGACCAUAUUUCCGACCAAAUUGGUUGCAAUUUUUGGCGCAAAAGCCGGGAACUUAUUUCUGACCGAAUUUGUCUGUAUUGAAUUUUUAAAAUUCUGACCGUUCGACUCGUUUGACUUUUAUAGCGACCGAUUCGGUCGGUAGUUUUUUGUUAAAAAAAGAUAUAUUUAAUGAUAUUUCCGAUAGAGUUUGUUGGAAUUUUUCUAAAACCCUACCUAGCCCCCGUUCCCCAAAAACAGAACCCAUUUUUUUCUUUCUUCCUCCUCUCAUCCUCCUCCUCUCGCCCUCUCGUCCUUCUUCACAAUUCUCCUCCUUAUAGAUAGUGUAUUUUCGCUAUCUCUCGGUCUCUCGCUCUCGUUUCCUCCUCACUCUCCCUCCUAUGUUUUCCCCUUAAUUUUUUAACUUAUUUUUCUAUUUUUCAGAAGUGGUUCCGCGGAGACAGCGACAUCUUUCUUCUCCGACAUUUUUUCCGGCGAGGUUUUCGCUAUCCUUUUAGUCUACACAUUUGGUUGUGGAUUCUAUGAAGCCAUUUUAUCAUGAGUCGCAGAAUUCUUGGAGACAGAUACCGUACAACAUCAGAGAGAAAAUGUGGAUUCAAUUUAGGACAAAGUGUAUAUGGCAUCCUCAGCAUCAAAAUGAAAUAAAUGAUAUUUUCGAGAAGAAGGCUGCUAAGCAGAUUAAAGAUACUCCGUUCGCUGCUCGGCAUGCUGUUAAAAUGCCGGAGUGGUUGAGAGAAGUUGUUUGGAAGAAACUUCUUGCGAAAUGGAAUACCGAUGAAUGGAAGAAAAAGUGUGAACAAGCAAAGGCAAACCGUACCUCCGAGGAAAAGGAAAGAGGGCGAGACAUGAUUCACCCAUAUUUUUUGUUAUGAAGGAAAAGGAAAGAGGGCGAGAUAUGAGUCACACUGAGAUCUUCGAGGGGACGCAUAAGAAAAAGAAGAAGGACAGUACAAGAGAACACUGAGUGGAGACGCGUGCGUCAGAC